GACAUAGGUGGCAAGCGUUAUUCGGAAUUACUAGGCGUAAAGCGAGUGUAGGCGGGCGCUUAAGUCCGACGUUAAAUCUCCAGGCUUAACUUGGAGCUGUCGUUGGAUACUGGGCGUCUCGAGAGGGGUAGGGGGCAGUGGAAUUCCCGGUGUAGCGGUGAAAUGCGUAGAGAUCGGAAGGAACACCAGUGGCGAAGGCGACUGCCUGGACCAAUACUGACGCUGAGGUGCGAAAGCGUGGGGAGCAAACAGGAUUAGAUACCCCAGUAGU
rnacentral:rRNA from 1 species